GCCCAGGAAGUGAAGGCCCUGGAAGUGGAGUCGGUGAAGUCGGCGACGCCAAUUGCUGCCUUGCGUUCCCGGGCCGUGGGAGAUGGAGAACGGAGCGGUCUACAGAUCCACCACCGAGGCGCACCCGGGCCCCGCCAGAGGCGCCCGGAGCGGCCUCGUCGCCUACUUCACCCUGCGCCGGCUCAAGAGGACCCGGCUAAUCAUCAAACUCCUUCAGCUGGUGCUGUCUCUGUUGGCCUUUAUCUGUGAGGAAGUUGUGUCACAAUGUACUUUGUGUAGAGGCCUUUACUUUUUCGAAUUUGUAAGCUGCAGUGCCUUUCUGCUGAGUCUCCUUUUGCUGAUUGUGUACUGCACUCCAGUUUAUGAAAAAGUUGAUCACGCAAAAGUCAAGUCAUCGGAUUUUUAUAUUACUGUGGGAACAGGAUUGGUGUUUUUGGUGGCAUCCAUCUUUUUCGCUUUGACACAUGACAAUACCACAGCUGAACUUGCUGCAAUUAUUAUUCUACGAAGAUCCUAAGUUCUUUUGAUGCUAAUUCUAUUUGUUGGAUUUACUGAAUCUUCCUCACAUUGGUUCCACUGGGAAUACGUUCACUGAAUGGAAUACAGAAAUUGUCUAUUGAUAUGGAAAGAUAUCCAGUUUAAUAUGACACUGUGCCUCUUGGUACAGAUUAUAAGUAAGGCAUACUGGGGGGAAUCAAGCAGGUUAGAAGUUGAGUGUGUGCAGUUCCCUAAGCUUUCACUAGCCUAUAGUUUGUUCAGAGCAUAAACAGACUACAGGCAGAGAGGGACCCCACCCCACAGUGCUCCCAUGUGUAUGUACAGAAGGUACAGGGGGCACUCAAGUAAUCAUUCAACUCUCAAAGAAUGGAAGCUCUCUGGAAGAGCAGCCUUAUUGGAAAAGGAGACCCUCAAGAGCUCAGGGGCUGGACAAUCCCACUCCUGGCCAUAUAUCCAAAGAAAACCAUGACUCAAAAGGAUACAUGCACCCCUAUGUUCAC